GCACCCGUAGCUCAGCUGGAUAGAGCGUCAGCCUCCGGAGCUGAAGGUCUCGCGUUCGAAUCGCGACGGGUGUA
rnacentral:tRNA from 1 species